GAAAUGCGAUAAGUAGUGUGAAUUGCAGAAUUCAGUGAAUCAUCGAAUCUUUGAACGCACAUUGCGCCCCUCGGUAUUCCGUGGGGCAUGCCUGUUUGAGUAUCAUGAAAUCAUCAAAGUAAAUCUUUUGUUAACUCAAUUGGUUUCUACUUUGGUAUUGGAGGUCUUUGCAGCUUCACACCUGCUCCUCUUUGUUCAUUAGCUGGAUCUCAGUGUUAUGCUUGGUUCCACUCGGCGUGAUAAGUUAUCUAUCGCUGAGGACACUGUAAAAGGUGGCCAAGGUAAAUGCAGAUGAACCGCUUCUAAUAGUCCAUUGACUUGGACAAUACUUUUAUGAUCUGAUCUCAAAUCAGGUAGGACUACCCGCUGAACUUAAGC
rnacentral:misc_RNA from 1 species